rnacentral:rRNA from 1 species
GACGAACCGUGCGAACGUUAUUCGGAAUCACUGGGCUUAAAGGGCGCGUAGGCGGGCCAGCAAGUCAGGGGUGAAAGCCCACGGCUCAACCGUGGAAGUGCCUCUGAUACUGCGGGCCUCGAGGGAGGUAGGGGCGUGCGGAACUUCCGGUGGAGCGGUGAAAUGCGUAGAUAUCUGGAGGAACACCGGUGGCGAAGGCGGCAUCCUGGACCAACACUGACACUGAGGAGCGAAAGCCAGGGGAGCAAACGGG